UACGUAGGCAGCGAGCGUUGUUCGGAGUUACUGGGCGUAAAGGGUGCGCAGGCGGUGGAGCAAGUCUGUUGUGAAAUCUCCCGGCUUAACCGGGAGGGUGCGGCGGAAACUGUUCUGCUGGAGUGAGGGAGAGGCAAGCGGAAUUCCUGGUGUAGUGGUGGAAUGCGUAGAUAUCAGGAGGAACACCAGUGGCGAAGGCGGCUCUCUGGACCGGUGCUGACGCUCAGGCGCGAAAGCGUGGGGAGCGAUCAGG
rnacentral:rRNA from 1 species